UGGAAAGCAAUCAAGUCUUUAUGUGUACA
rnacentral:piRNA from 1 species